UGGGGGAUAUUGCACAAUGGGCGAAAGCCUGAUGCAGCGACGCCGCGUGGGGGAUGAAGGCUUUCGGGUUGUAAACCUCUUUCGCUAUCGAACAAGGCCCGCUUAGGGUGGGUUGAGGGUAGGUGGAGAAGAAGCGCCGGCUAACUACGUGCCAGCAGCCGCGGUAAUACGUAGGGCGCGAGCGUUGUCCGGAAUUAUUGGGCGUAAAGGGCUUGUAGGCGGCUUGUUGCGCCUGCUGUGAAAACGCGGGGCUUAACUGCGCGCGUGCAGUGGGUACGGGCAGGCUUGAGUGUGGUAGGGGUGACUGGAAUUCCAGGUGUAGCGGUGGAAUGCGCAGAUAUCUGGAGGAACACCGAUGGCGAAGGCAGGUCACUGGGCCAUUACUGACGCUGAGGAGCGAAAGCAUGGGUAGCGAACAGG
rnacentral:rRNA from 2 species